rnacentral:rRNA from 1 species
CCAGCAGCUGCGGUAAUUCCAGCUCCAAUAGCGUAUAUUAAAGUUGUUGCAGUUAAAAAGCUCGUAGUUGAAUUUCUGGUCGGCCGCGCGAUCGCCUCUGGCGUGUCGUGCCGCUUGUCCAUCCUCGCCCCUCGGGGCGUCGUUUACUGUGAAAAAACUAGAGUGUUCCAAGCAGGCUCAAGGCUUGAAUCCAUUAGCAUGGAAUAAUGAGAUAGGACCUCGGUGCUAUUUUGUUGGUUGCGUACCGGAGUAAUGAUUAAGAGGGACAGUUGGGGGCAUUCAUAUUUAGUUGUCAGAGGUGAAAUUCUUGGAUUUACUAAGGAUGAACAAGUGCGAAAGCAUUUGCCAAGGAUGUUUUCAUUAAUCAAGAACGAAAGU